rnacentral:rRNA from 1 species
CAGACCUAUAAUCGGAAAAGACUACCCGCUGAGUUUAAGCAUAUCACUAAGCGGAGGAGAAG